GACGAACGCUGGCGGCGUGCUUAACACAUGCAAGUCGAACGGAAAGGCCCUGCUUUUGUGGGGUGCUCGAGUGGCGAACGGGUGAGUAACACGUGAGUAACCUGCCCUUGACUUUGGGAUAACUUCAGGAAACUGGUGCUAAUACCGGAUAGGAGCUCCUGCUGCAGGGUGGGGGUUGGAAAGUUUCGGCGGUUGGGGAUGGACUCGGGGCUUAUCAGCUUGUUGGUGGGGUAGUGGCUUACCAAGGCUUUGGCGGGUAGCCGGCCUGGGAGGGUGACCGGCCACAUUGGGACUGAGAUACGGCCCAGACUCCUACGGGAGGCAGCAGUGGGGAAUAUUGCACAAUGGGCGGAAGCCUGAUGCAGAAACGCCGCGUGCGGGAUGACGGCCUUCGGGUUGUAAACCGCUUUCGCCUGUGACGAAGCGUGAGUGACGGUAAUGGGUAAAGAAGCACCGGCUAACUACGUG
rnacentral:rRNA from 1 species